rnacentral:rRNA from 1 species
GACGAACGCUGGCGGCGUGCUUAACACAUGCAAGUCGAACGGAAAGGCCUUGCUCUUGUGGGGUGCUCGAGUGGCGAACGGGUGAGUAACACGUGAGUAACCUGCCCUUGACUUUGGGAUAACUUCAGGAAACCGGGGCUAAUACCGGAUAGGAGCUCCUGCUGCAGGGUGGGGGUUGGAAAGUUUCGGCGGUUGGGGAUGGACUCGCGGCUUAUCAGCUUGUUGGUGGGGUAGUGGCUUACCAAGGCUUUGACGGGUAGCCGGCCUGAGAGGGUGACCGGCCACCAUAGGACUGAGAUACGGCCCAGACUCCUACGGGAGGCAGCAGUGGGGAAUAAUGCACAGUGGGCGGAAGCCGGAUGCAGCAGCGCCGCGUGCGGGAUGACGGCCGUCGGGUUGUAGACCGCUUUCGCCUGUGACGAAGAGUGAGUGACGGUAAUGGGUGAAGAAGCACCGGCUAACUACGUG